rnacentral:lncRNA from 1 species
AUGUCCCUUGGCCAUUUAGGAGGACAUGGAACAUGGGAGAUAGGACAUGGGGUGGGAGGUUUGGGAUACAGCAUGUCCCUUGGCCGGUUGGGGAGAUGUGGGGUGGGAGGGUUCGGGAUACGGUGUGUCCCUCGGCCGGCUGAGGGGACGUCUGCUGGUGAGGAGCGUCCCAAUGGUAGGGAGGUCUCAGGCCAAGCGCUUCCGCCUGCUCUGGGCCUCAGCAGGAGGCAGGAUAAAGUCGCUGUCCUGCAGGCUCUGCCUCCGCUGCGCAACUCGGCCUCUCCUCAAGAGCCGCCUGGGUCUUUUCAUCUCAUCUCUUUUGUUUCAGGCUUAUUAUGUAAAUAGCUGAUGCAGCCCCCGUAAUGAGAAAGUGGUUUCCCAGAAUACAAAAGGCUGUAAUUAUCUCAUUAGCAGGCAGAAAGGAAGAGGAAAUGUUUCUAAGCCGCUUUCUUUUAUUUCCCCCAGCAGCCGAAGCAAGUGCCACCCCUCAACGGUGACUCCCUGCCCCAUCUCUGCCACCCGGAGCAGGGGCCGUGGCACUGGCGAGAGGGAAAGGCAAACCACAGUCCUCACAUCUCACGAAUAGCCGCGUCCUUGGGGGCUGCCUGGUUUUUUAAGGGUCCCGGUGACACAGGGGAUGCUGGGGACCUCUGUGCAGACCCACCGUGCUCUCCAAGCUGCGGGAUUUGGGAAUGACGUUGCUGGCGAAGUUCGUGUUGACAAUCCUUUGAGGUCAGGGAGGAACAUGCUCUGACAUAGCGAUAUAUAUAAACAUGAAUAACCUAGUAGCCGGCUCUGUCUGAGAUGAUGUACCAGACUGGAUGGUCAUCCUGCAGGUCCUUGGAUGCCGUUCCUAGCUGUGGAGGACUGUGUUGAAGUAACACCUUUGGUCCCUGCUGAUGUUAAGCAUCUCUCGGAGGGUUUGACCUGCUGCUGCGUUUGCACCGCACCCUUGUGUCGGGGGCGGGAGGUGUCGUCGUGCACCCCUGUGAAGCUGGGGGGCUCGUAGAGGAACAGGACCUUCCUCACGUUCCCAGAUAAGAUGCUCCCCAACAGGAAUCCAGGACAGGGACUGUAACACGGAGCUUCAGACUGGAUUUCCGUGGUAAAAGCUUGUUCUUGGUUGCUUUUUUGUUUUAUAAGACACUUCUAGGGCUGUGGUUCUGCUUUUCUGCAAGCUCUGGGGUGGGUUCUGGUGUAAUUUAGAUGCAUUUUCCUGCUGGCAUGCAUUACUUAAACAUGAUGCAAUAGGAAAUAGCCUUAGGGCAUGCGAAGGUUGCCCCCCCUGAGAAUGCUCCCAGGAUUUCUUUGGUGGUGUUUUGCUUUCUGAAUUGAUG